rnacentral:lncRNA from 1 species
AUGAUGGGUUGUGUUGUCAAAUUUCGAGGUUGGGGGGCCUGUAGUUGUUUUGUCUGGUGCCAUGAUUCCAUUACCCUUUUAUAUAUAUAUAGACUAGCUGUGCCCUGCCACGCGUUGCUGUGGCCUAUUGAAAUUGCACUGAAUAGCUCCGGUUUUUGGGGUUUUUUAGGCCCUGUGGAGGUUCGUGACAUGAUAUUUUGUGGUUUCAACCUCGAGGCGUGGAUGAUGGAUUGUGUUGUGAAAUUUCGAGGUUGGGGGGUGUUUAGUUUUGUUGUUUUGCUCGGUGCCAGGAUUCCAUCACUCUUAUAUAUAUAGACUAGCUGUGCCCGGCCACGCGUUGCUGUGGCAAAGUGGUGGUGGUAUUGGUUAAAAAUGGUUGUGUAAUUUUUAUUUGACGUUAUUUGCAUUUUUUAUUAAUUUUAUUGUAAGUUAUCUUUUUAUUUAUUAUAUUUUAUUAUUUUCUUGUAUUAUUUUUAGUUAUUUUCUGUUAUAGUAUUUUAUUGUAUUAAUAUUUUAUUGUAAGUUAUCUUUUUAUUUAUUAUAUUUUAUUAUUUUCUUGUAUUAUUUGUAGUUAUUUUCUGUUAUUAUAGUAUUUUAUUGUAUUAAUCUUUUAGUGUUUUUAAUUAUUUUUUAGUGUUUUUUAUUAUUUUUUUAUUGGGUUGCUAGGAGACCAAGUUGGAGGAGCUUAGCCUUCUAACUGGCAGCAAUUGGAUAAAAGCAAUUAUUCCUCUCCCUCUAAUUAGGACUUUAUUUUUCUUUUCUUUUUGUUGUAUCAACCUAGAGGCGUGGAUGAUGGGUUGUGUUGUCAAAUUUUGAGGUUGGGGGGCCUGUAGUUUUGUUGUUUUGUGGGUCACCGUGAUGCCAUCACUCUUUUAUAUAUAUAGAUUGAAAACACUGACUACAAAAAUGCGUUGGAUAAUUCAGAACAUUCGAUAAGCGAGUGUUGGAUAAGUGAGACUCUACUGUAUAAGGCAAACAUUCAAUGCCUUAACAUAGAACAAAGACAGAGACAAAUGCAGGCUCCGAGCUGGCCUCGAACUCAUGACCUCUUGGUCAGAGUGAUUUGUUGCAGCUGGCUGCAGCUGGCUGCUCAUCAGCCUGCGCCACAGCCCGGGCCUUGCUACAUUCGCAUUAGCCCACUAUUAUGACUGCAGAAAGUGGCCUUUGAGUGGUAGCUUGAGGACUCUUAAAGGCCAGGGUCCUCCACAUCCUGACUCAGCCCUGGAAGCCUUGGGCAGGGCAACAAGCGACAAGGGCAGGCGUGGGAGAGCAGGCUCGGAGGCAAUGGAGAGGCGCAAGAGCGGUGGCCUCGGAAGCCGCAGCCGCGGAGCUGAGCCUGAGAGCCCGCCAGGCAGGGACGUCCCCUCCUCGGCCCCUGACGCACAGGAAAGCCUUCCCCGCCCGGCGCCGCGAGUGGAAGCCCAAGCGGAGCGGCUCGGUUUCCGUCUGCCUCGGCGAAGGAGAAGAAGCAGCAGCCUUGGCCCUCCGUAGGGCAGAGGCCAAUCGGGGUCCGCAACUGCCUCUUGUUCUGCUCCCUCGGCUGGCUUUGGCUUGGACUCGUCUUCGCAGGGAAGAAGCUUCGCUCCAAGGUGCGCAAAUGGGUUUGGGCUGACCAUCCGCUCCUUGGCCAGUGGCUGGGUCUGCACAUAGUGCUUUCCAAAGGGGUCCCGUCUCCAACCAUUGUAACACCAUUGUUGUUCCUGCGUGAUCCAUGUCCUUUCCUAAUUGACUCUAUCAGCAAAAGCAUGGGGAGAAAGUGUAUUAAACUGCCCAAACUUGGUUUUUGCGGGACAUCUUGGGAGCUGUAGUUUUACUAGGUCUCUAGCCUUCUCUGGGGCCCCUGGUGGUGGCACAGUGUGUUAAAGCGCUGAGCUGCCGAACUUGCUGACCGAAAGGUCCCAGGUUCAAAUCCCGGUAGCAGAAUGAGCGCCCGCUGUUAGCCCCAGCUCCUACCAACCUACCCUGUUUCCCCUAAAAUAAGACAUCCCCAGAAAAUAAGACCUAGUAGAGGUUUUGCUGAAUUGCUAAAUAUAAGGCCUCCCCCGAAAGUAAGACCUAGCAAAGUUUUUGUUUGGAAGCAUGCCCACUGAACAGAACACCAGAGAGUGCAGGAUCGGUAAAUGUACGUACCAUAGAGUGUUGUACAUGGAAAUAUUGGUAGUACAGUAGAGUCUCACUUAUCCAACAUAAACGGGCCGGCAGAAUGUUGGAUAAGCGAAUAUGUUGGAUAAUAAGGAGGCAUUAAGGAAAAGCCUAUUAAACAUCAAAUUAGGUUAUGAUUUUACAAAUGAAGCACCAAAACAUCAUGUUAGACAACAAAUUUGGCAGAAAAAGUAGUUCAAUACGCAGUAAUGCUAUGUAGUAAUUACUGUAUUUAUGAAUUAGGCACCAAAAUAUCACGAUAUAUUGAAAACAUUGACUACAAAAAUGCAUUGGAUAAUCCAGAACGUUAGAUAAGCGAGUGUUGGAUAAGUGAGACUCUACUGUAACAAGAAAUUCUUGAUAGGAUUCACAGUUUGUCUGGUUAUGCUGGUUUGUGAUAACAGCUACUGUAUAGUAUAUAAUAAAUGUUCAUUUUUUUGUUCAACAAUAAAUGUGAAUUCUUCAUGGAAAAAUAAGACAUCCCCUGUAAAUAAGACCUAGCGCAUCUUUGGGUGCAAAAAUUAAUAUAAGACACUGUCUUAUUUUUGGGGAAACACAGUAGCAGUUCGAAAACAUGCAAAUGUGAGUAGAUCAAUAAGUACCACUCCGGCGGGAAGGUAACGGGGCUCCAUGCAGUCAUGCCGGCCACAUGACCUUGGAGGUGUCUACGGACAACGCUGGCUCUUUGGCUUAGAAAUGGAGAUGAGCACCAACCCCCAGAGUCGGUCACGACUGGACUUAAUGUCAGGGGAAAACCUUUACCUUUUUACCUAGCCUUCUCUGCUGAUUCUGAGUGCUGACACCUCACCAAACUACAACUCUCACGACUCCAUUGAACUGAGCCAGGGCACUUCCAGUGGUGCCAAACUGCACUGAUUCUAUGUGUUGUCAAAAGACCUUAUCACACUAGCGCUUGGAUCCACUUUAAAUCCACUUUAAAUCCUCUUUCGGGAGGGGGCUUUAAACAGCUCAGCCAGACAGGUCCUGGGCCUCACCAAACUACAAAUCCCAGAAUUCUUCAAGAGGCAGAAACCAGAUUUAAAGUGGAUUCAUGCUCUAGUGUGAUGAGGCCCCAUGAGUUGUCAAAAACUUUCAUGGCCGGAAUCACUAGGCUGCUGUGAGUUUUCCAGGCUGUAUGUCCAUGUUCCAGAAGCAUUCUCUCCUGACGUUUCGCCCACAUCUAUGGCAGGAAUCGUCAGAACUACUUCGUGGUUCACUUUUGCGGAUUCGCUGUUUUGUAAUUUUUCAAUAAACUCUAAAAGAAUAUUAUAAAUCAUAAAAAAUUACAAUUUACAGCCUAAGGAAGGGAGGAAGGAGAAGCCAAAGGGAGAGAAAAGGAGCCCAAGUGGCAACAGGAGGAAAAAGGCGAUUUAUCAACACACAAUUGGUUGAUCAAGGCUUAAAAUAGUGUAUAACUACUAAAAUAAUGUAUAAAUAUUAAAAUAAAUACAGUGUCCCUACUUCACGGAUUUUCACUUAUUGCGGGUGGUCCUAGAACCUAACCCCCGCAAUAAGUGAGGGAACACUGUACCACAUUUUGUCUCAACAUCUGUAUUGAAUAAUGUCAAUAGUCCUUACAGUGUGAAAGCCCCCAAUACAUUUUUAAAGUCUGUGAAAAUGCUGUUUAGGACAGCUCAGAAAACCAAUUGUUUUUAUAGUAGAGUCUCACUUAUCCAACAUAAACGGGCUGGCAGAAUGUUGGAUAAGUGAAUAUGUUGGAUAAUAAGGAGAGAUUAAGAAAAAGCCUAUUAAACAUCAAAAUAUGUUAUGAUUUUACAAAUUAAGCACCAAAACAUCAUGUUAUACAACAAAUUUGACAGAAAAAGUAGUUCAUUACACAUUAAUGCUAUGUAGUAAUUACUGUAUUUACAAAUUUAGCACCAAAAUAUCAUGAUAUAUUGAAAACAUUGACUACAAAAAUGUGUUGGAUAAUCCAGAACGUUGGAUAAGUGAGACUCUACUGUAUUUAAUGUACUUCUCAGUGGAAAUACCACUCAGGGGCGUUGGGGAAUUUUUAUCCAAAAAUACUAUCUGGAGAGCCUACAUUCAAAAUAAAGGACUUUAGCCACUCUGAAUAUAUGUCUAAGUUGAGUGUCCUUAAUCUAAAAUGUUGCCGCUGAUUUGCUUGCAUGAUGGAAGUGAGUAGGACUUUUUUUCCUCCCUUAUAUUCUCAUUCCCUUAUAUUCUCACUGUCUUUCCAUCUUUGUAUCUAAUACCCAACAUAAGUAGCAAACGGACCAAAUAUGAGACUAAAAAAUACCUGAAGCUGUGGGGAGAUGCAAGGCUCUGUGAAAUGGUGGGAGGCAUAGAUUUGCAUCGAGCACUACAUUAGGAUUCCUGUCAUUUCACAGAUAAUCCAAAAUUACAAAUUAAAAAAUACUUCUGGUCCCAAGCAUUCAUCUAAAGAAUGCCCAACCUGCAUUUCCUAAUUAAAAGUAAAAUCUGAAGUAAACAUUUUCAGACUCAAUGCAACAAAUGUGUAAAUGUUUACAAAAUAAUAUUCUUCACUCUGAACCAGCAAGUGUACAGCCGAAAUAGAAUAAAUUUAGAUUCACUGUGUGGUAAAAUGCAUUGCAUCUCUGAA